rnacentral:tRNA from 1 species
GUUCCUGUAGCGCUAUGGAUAGCGUGUUGGACUUCUAAUCCAAAGAGCGUGGGUUCGAAUUCCACCUAGGAUG